GUAAGGAAUAUUGCUCAAUGGCCGAAAGGCUGAAGCAGCAACGCCGCGUGAAGGAUGAAGGGCUUUUGCUUGUAAACUUCUGUAGUGAGGGAAAAAAUUUCCACUCUGUGGAAUAUGAUGGUACCUCAAAAGUAAGCCCCGGCUAACUACGUGCCAGCAGCCGCGGUAAUACGUAGGGGGCAAACGUUGUCCGGAUUUACUGGGUGUAAAGGGUGCUCAGGCGGUUUAGUAAGUUAGAAGUGAAAUCCUAGGGCUUAACUCUGGAACUGCUUUUAAUACUGCUAAGCUUGAAUGUGGAAGAGGAUGAUGGAAUUUCUGGUGUAGCAGUGAAAUGCGUAGAUAUCAGAAAGAACACCAGUGGCGAAGGCGGUCAUCUGGUCCACUAUUGACGCUAAAGCACGAAAGCGUGGGGAGCAAACAGGAUUAGAUACCCCGGUAGUCC
rnacentral:rRNA from 1 species